GAGGCCAUAGCUCAGUGGAUUAGAGCAUAAGAUUGCAAUUUCCUUGUUGAACAAAUCUUGGGGUCCCGUGUUCGAUCCACGGUGGUCUCU